GAUGAAGAACGUAGCGAAAUGCGAUACGUAAUGUGAAUUGCAGAAUUCAGUGAAUCAUCGAAUCUUUGAACGCAUAUUGCGCUCUCUGGUAUUCCGGAGAGCAUGCUUGUUUGAGUAUCAGUAAACACCUCAACUCCCUUUUCUUUUUUGAAAUUGGAGCUGGACUUGAGUGAUCCCAACGCUUUCUUCCAAGAAAGUGGCGGGUUGCUUGAAAUGCAGGUGCAGCUGAACUUUUCUCUGAGCUAUAAGCAUAUCUAUUUAGUCUGCCUAAAAAACAGAUUAUUACCUUUGCUGCAGCUAACAUAAAGGAGACUAGUUCUUGUGCUGACUGAUGCAGGAUUCACAGAGACAGCUUCGGCUGACUUUGUAAACUCGAUCUCAGAUCAAGUAAGACUACCCGCUGAACUUAAGCAUAUCAAUAAGCGGAGGA
rnacentral:misc_RNA from 1 species